GGCUUCCGACCCCGACCCCGCUCCCCACCGCGGCCAGUCUCGCUCACCAGAAGAGCAGGUUGGCGCAGACGAAGCCGCCCAGGCUGUGGAGGGGCCGCUCCCAGCUCAGCGCCGCCGCGAUACAGCAGCCCACAGCCAGACCCGUGUCCCCCAGCAGCGCCGCGGCCGCCCCGGCCCCGCCUGACAGCUCCGCCGGCUCCGCAUCCCGGGCUGCCGCACCCCGCUCCUCGACGGCCUCCGUUCGCUCCCGCCCGUCGCGCUCCGCGCCGGGGGUCUGCGCGCUCGCCAUGGCUCGGUGGCGGCCGCCGCGGUGCCGCUGGGCCGGGCGGGGCUGGGGCGGGGCGCGGUGCCGGGGGUGGGGCCCGCAGCGCGGCCGUUAACCGCCGCGCCCCAUCCACCGGCGGCGGGGGGGGGGGGGGGUGUUUUCUCGGCAGGUGCCGGGGGGCGGUGCUUGGGGAGGGCGGGUGGCGGCGUGCGCGCGCGCGCGCGCGGGGUGUGACGCGCUCCAGCCCCGGGCCGGUUGUCCGGCCGCCGCCGCCCCGCCCCCCGCCCCGCCCCGCCGCCAGUCCUGCCCCUCCUCACACCCCCCUCCACACACACCCCGUAACCCCCUUCACGCACCAUCACCCUCAACAACACCCGGGCACACACACGCACAGAGCCCACACCCCUCGCGCUCCCGUCCGGUCUCUGUGGCCCUUGGAAUGGCGGGAGGUGGUGGGCUUAUGAGGGGAGCAGGUGCUCCAACUGCCCGUGCCUUGGGGUAAGUGGGGGGCUCGCCCAGGUUGUGGAAGUGACCAGGGAAUGGUGGGGGGGGGGUUGGCUCCCUCCUGGGGAAAGCUGGAAAGCCAGUCGACUUCUUGGUUUGGGAAAUCUUAAGGUCCUUUCCAACCCUAACUAUUCUAUGAUUCUGAAUGGUGUGGGCUGAAACCUGCCAGAAGAUGUUACUGCUGAGACUCCUUCUUCAUCUCUUCCUUGUGUAUAUCCCGCAGCCAAGCAACAGCCUCCAAAAUCCUAAAAAGAAGUAAAUUGUUGCUGUCGCAGCGCUGGGAACUUCUCCUGAGACCAUGAAGGAGGUUGCAGGAGUUUCAUGUCUUCCAUCCUCAUCUUAAGUAUCCAAGAAACGUACUGGAAAAUCCGUACUGUGUCGUCGUGUCACUUGCACUACUAUGUUCCUGGCCGGCCUCAGGGUUAAGGUCACUGUAAGGUGCUGUGUUACCUGUGCCAAGCUGCUGUCCUAGUGAACACUGUCCAUAAUUUGCCAAAACCAGCUUAGCCAGUGCCAGGUUUCUUUCCCUUGCUAGCAUUUGGUUACUUCAUUCAUGUGGGCUGUCCUGUCCAGCGUCUACCUCCAGCUGACUCCAAACAGUUACUAGUAUGUCCUCAUCCUGAACUCAGCACAUUAAGUGGAUUUCUGCUCAUCAUAGCUAUCUUACAGGAAUUCAAUGCUUCUCACCUUUUGAGAUGGAACUUGAGAUAUUUGAGGAUGCUGCGACUCGGCAGAAACGUGCAACUCAUGCAGUGUCUCCCUUUGACCUUUGGAGCAGGGUUAUCCAGUGAUGCAUCUCUUCAGGAGUGUCAGCAUUACAGUGAAGAACACGAUUAGCAGUGAUGAUCACAAAUGAAUUUGGUCUAUGAAAGUAAAAGAAGAUUGAAAAUGCCUUUACAAUCAACAUACAUACUGUUUAUACCUCACUCAUCAUAACCAUAAAUACUGUCCAUUGCCUGCAUUUUCUAUUCAGACAAAAUCCAUCCACCUCUAAAGCAUUUAUUUCAACACCACUAAACCUAAGAAAAAAAAAGAAAUAAAAAGUAAAAGGCAUUUGAAAAGACUCGAUUAUGUUGGAUUCACACCAAAAUGCUAGGGCUCUGAAUGGUGGGAAAGUUUACAUUAAAUUUCAACUUGUCCUAUCUCAAAAUAAAUCUA